AGAAGUCGUCCAGGCUCCGCUCCUCGGUCUCCGCCAUGGCGGUUGCCGGACGAGGAAAGGAGGGCGGCGGCGCGGGCUAAGAGGAGACACUAAAGAAGAUUUGCAGUUAAAACUAAAUCACCUCAUGAAUAAGAUCAGAUUUUAAGCUGGCCAGAAGAGCUCUUGAAGCAGAAAAAUCUUUCCUUAGAUAAUUAAGUCUGUAACUAAGAUUGCAAAUGACCCAAAGCGUUCUGCUCCUCCAAGGUGAAACACACCAUGCAAUGUGGAAACAUCAAAGCUGCAUCCAGACGAGUUAUCUCAAGUGGAUAUCAAGUGGGAUUGUUGCCCUGUGUUCCCACAUGCCCUGAGGCUGUUUGGUCACAGGGUGGAGGUGGGCAUGCAAAGCUGAAGUUUCUAGGUGGUCAUUAACAUUUAUCCUCAUGGAGAGUGGCUUACUACUCCAAAUGUCUUACAAAUGUUUGGACCAAAAAAUGUGUAAUACCUGAAGGCAUCUGAUAAGGAGAAAUGUGGAGAAAUACCCUGUUCCUUCACUAUCCAUUAUGUCCAUCAUGGAUCAGGAAGUUAAAAGCACUCUACUUCUUUUCAAUCUGAUGAAGAACAAGGGUUAAAAAAGCUUUUUUCCUUAAUUCUUACCUACUGCUACAAAAAAAAAAACAAACAAGGAAGGUGGAUGGGGCUGGAGCUUCUUUCACACCAUUGCAUGGGAAACCUAUUUUUCUUCAAUAACUGUGGGAUUUCUUGGCCAAUUCAAGCAAUAUGAUAGAGGGAUAGGCCAUCUCAGAGACAUCCAGUUCUAAAACAGUUCAUGAAAAUAGCAUUUGGACAGAGGAGAGAAGUUUUGUAGAUACUGCUGCUCAGGGAAAAAAAAGAGCCUGAAUUUCGGCAUGGGAAAAUUGGGGAGUGUGGCAAAAGCACAGGACUCGGAGAUGUCACAAAAGCCACAGGUGUGGGCAAAGAGAUGAUCCCUCACCACACACCAACCAGCUCUGUUGUCCAGCACACAAGUACAGAAGAAUUCUGUGUGCUCAUUUGCACACAGAACUGGCUGCUCUUCAAUGUUCAACCCCUUGUUUCCUUCUCCCUGAUUUUUUGCAGCCCCACUUUACCAGCACUAUCCUAACUCUCCAAACCCUGGCUUGUCCAUCUGUGGCAUUUCAGAGCAGCUGAGCAGAGCUGGGACUUUGGGGACAUGCUACUCUUCUGUCCUCAUGUUCCCUUACACCAGGACACCUGAGUCUCUCCUGAAGGAUGGAGAAUUGGCAUUUAGUCAGCACAGAAGUAGAGGGACUUCCUUGACACAAGCUCUUGGUUGCUUUAUUUUUCUACUUUUUUUUCUUUAUUUUCUUUUUUCCUACAGUAGUUAUUCUGUCUUCCUGACAGCUCAUACAUGUGUGGAUCUUCACAGAAGCUUUAAUUUUUUUCCCUGACUCAAUCAAGGAGCAGAAAUGUUACCCUGUGAUUUGCCCUGCUCUAUUGAAACAGACCCGUUUGCCUCUGGCAGGGAUUACACACAGUUACAACGUCUGACCUAAAGUCUGAUGAAAAUUAAUGUCUUUGGGUGAAUUUGGAACAUCCUGUGAGCAAAAGUAACAUUAAAUCCUCUGAGCUGCACAAUGUCACUCAGAGGCAUAUUAGUAGUGAAGUUUAGGGGCUGAAUCCAGUGAGAAAGGGCUUUUGGACUGCAACAAAAGCAGAAGCAGUCAACAGCUGGUAAACUGCUGCUGCCUGGAUUUCUGCAUCUAUGUGGAGACAGACUGGUUUUUAAAAGUGUUUUUCAUUAGUGGUUUUGUGGAUUUAUUGAGGCAUUUGAGGUGACUUUUACCUGCCACACAGUGGAUGUCUUUACCAUACUCCUGGGGAUUCAGUCAAUACCCCAACUCUCCUCUUCACAGACCCACAGCUAAAGCCAAGGGCUCAGUGAGAAGGUCCAGGGCUUUCCAAAACUUCACAAAACCCUGAACUAUGCCAUGUAAGUAAAAACGGUAUGACCACCACCUCCCAAACUAAUGUUGAGAAGACUUCAGGGAUGACUUGCAGUGGAAACCAGCAGGCACCAAUUUUUCGGCACUCCUGGAAAUCACCUGUGGGCCCUUUAAAUCUGACAGUGAACGUAAAGGCUGUAACUGAACAAUCAUGGAGGCUGAGCUACCCUCUUCUCUCUCAGAAACUCAGAUUGUUUCAAGCAUCCACUUCUCCCAAGUGCUGCCCUGUACCCUGGGAAGAAAUUGCCAUUGCAAACAGUCUCCUAUUCUGCAGAAGAGACACAUUUGAUUAGAGAUAGAGUUUUCCAGAAGAAGACCAGGAUGAAGCCUGGAAAAGAAGAGUAUGCACAGGGUAAAAUUUGUAUUUCUGUCAUGAAAUUGUAAUUCUGUCACAUGAAUUCCUCUUGGCAAGGAUUUCUCAUUUCCCUCUUUUUCUGCAAAAAUCCUCUUGCUUUCUGCCUGUCCCAAUUAGUGUGUGUCCACCUGCUCUGCUUAAAGCCAGCUGCCCAGGCAGAUAAUUAACCCUGUGAGCUGGAUAGUUGCUUUCCAUCAUUCAGUUCCCACCAGUGAUCCCCUGCUGCAGCCAUAGCUCUGACAAUUGCAAGGAAACAUGAGUGGUUUCUCCUGAGGGACCCUGCACUCACACACACACCCUCUGAGUCUCUCACUGACAUGUUUUUUCCCUUAGCUCUGAGUUCGGGAGAUAUGCUGGUUUUGCUGGCAGUGCAGCUACCCAAAAUUUGGGAUGCUGGAGCACAUCCCAGGAAGGGCAGGAGGGAAACAGGACUUCAGGUCUGCUGGGGUCUCUCCUGUGCCACUGCAGAGAUGGGCCUGUCACAUUUGUGAUUUUGAGACCAGGAGAGUCCUUUGAGGCCAUGUCCUUGUCUUCUCAUUAGCAGGGCAGGAGUAAAGGGCUCCUGCUUAGACCCCUCCCAAUUGUGUCUUUCUCUUUGCUGCUUCUUGUUCGAAAACUGUUCCUAUCAUGAGUGCUUGGGCUAAACCAGGUGCCUGCUUGAGUGGUUUUUUUUCCCCAAAACUUUCAUAGCUGCUUUAUGCGAACGGCACCAAGGGGUUUUAUGGCUGCCAGGGAUCUCUCCUCACGGAACCCAUGGGCCUGGACAGGAAUCAAAAUGAGUGCUCAGAUUUUACAAGAAGCUGAAAAUGGGGUAUGCCACUCUCAAAGAAAUCAAGGUGGAUGUGGACAUCUGCAGAAAAUUUGAAUCUAUCUACAAAUAUUACAUUUAGGAAUGUAUCUGCCAGGUGCCUCUCAUUUCUGCUACACCUUGCUCCUGAAUGCCUUUUACUUUUCUGUUUGGGAUAUGUUGUGGGAGGAGGGUUCUGACUGUGUGAUUUCAGCUGUUUCUGCAGCAACUGAUUUUGACAUUUUAAUAAAUGUGAUGGUUUUGAUGUUGAUGCUGGCAUAAUUUUUCCAAUUAGCUCCAGGACGAAUGAGCUAAUUGGUGUUUGGGCUGGAUAGGGUUCUACUUUGAUUUUUGGUUAAAUGCUUAAUAAAAAAAGCAAAGCAAUCUAUUAAUCAGAAUUGUACAUAACAGCUUGGAUCACAUCCGUGAAAGACAAAACCCACUAAGUGAUGCCUCUUUUAUUGAUUUAAUUGAAGCAAUUCUGAAAAUUUUAUGUGUUCUCUGAUGUGUUUUGAUAGUUCAAUAGAUACGGAUGAUGCUAGUCUUUUUCUGUUCUUUUCUAUGACACUCACAAAUGCUGUUACUACAUGGCUUUAUUUUUCUGAUUUUUGUAUAGGAAGAGACCGAUGUUCAGGCUAGAUUUCAUUAUGAGAUGCUCCUAUUCACUCAUAAAAAAGAGGCAGAGGCAAGGAUGACUACAAAGAAAGGUUGAAAGGAAAGCAAUUUGGAUGAAAAAUUAUUACAUAGCAGGUUCAUCUGCACUGCAAUGUUGGGUGUUUAUACAACGAAAAAUAGAGUAGUCCUUCCUAAAGUACUUAUUGGUCCCACAUUUUUGGUCUCAAACAUAAAUUUCAGUAGGAUUUACAGAUAAAGUCUACAACUGCAAAAUGGGACACUGGUGUGGAGAACACGGGAUGGCAGCUGCAAAGGAUUAACUCCCUGUCCUCUAUCCAAGUUCCCUUCUUCUCCAGUAAGAUAAAAGGUUCAAAGAGAUGGCUUUUUGUACCCCAGAUUCAGAGCGCCCCUUUACUUCAGCAGCUGCUCGCUUCAGGAAGCAAUAACAUCAUUUACUAGUAAUAAAAGGUGGAAACUUUAAAAGCUGGUGCUUAACUAGGUGUUCCUGCUGACAUGAUCUUUGUACAACAGCUUAUGCCAACACAUUCAGAGUUCGAGCAAUGUUUGUGGUGUUCUGGGAGAAGACCUGCCAUAAUAAUACAAGGAAAAACGGGCCAGCCCAAGUUAAAACAACACAAUUGUCCCAGUCAACUUAAAGUUGGCUUUCAGGCUUUCUGAAGACCCAGUGAUGGCAUUUUCUGUGCCUGCACAGUGCUGCUGGGAAGAGGUGUGAGAGGUGUGCAAGACGCCAGACGCCAGGUCUUUGGAAUCCCGUCUGCUCCCACUGCCUGGGAGCUGGGAAGCCAGAAUCUUGUGCACCAAGACCUCAGCAGACAGAGCCCUGUGUCUGCUGCAAGCAGGACAUCAGCCUGAAAGGCUUUACUGGCCAGCAAAAGGAACUCCUUCUUGUCCAUGAGGUCAAUACAGACCCCAUUUUGCUGCCUCACAAUAAACAUUUGCGCCAUAUGGAGAAGGUGGGAGUAAGGGAUGGUGGGGUGGUGGCAAAGGAAGGGGAGUCACUAAUUUGUAACCAUGUAAUUACUACUUCUAAAUAAAUGGAGCUUUCGAAAAUGUUAUUAAGCCAA